rnacentral:rRNA from 1 species
ACUCCUACGGGAGGCAGCAGUCGGGACUUUUGCGCAAUGGGGGAAACCCUGACGCAGCAAUACCGCGUGUGGGAUGAAGGCCUUCGGGUCGUAAACCACUUUUUUCGGGGACGAUAAUGACGGUACCCGAAGAAUAAGCCACGGCUAACUACGUGCCAGCAGCCGCGGUAAUAC